rnacentral:misc_RNA from 1 species
UGGAAGUAAAAGUCGUAACAAGGUCUCCGUUGGUGAACCAGCGGAGGGAUCAUUACCGAGUUUACAACUCCCAAACCCAAUGUGAACGUUACCAAUCUGUUGCCUCGGCGGGACUCUCUGCCCCGGGCGCGUCGCAGCCCCGGAUCCCAUGGCGCCCGCCGGAGGACCAACUCAAACUCUUUUUUCUCUCCGUCGCGGCCUACGUCGCGGCUCUGUUUUAUUUUUGCUCUGAGCCUUUCUCGGCGACCCUAGCGGGCGUCUCGAAAAUGAAUCAAAACUUUCAACAACGGAUCUCUUGGUUCUGGCAUCGAUGAAGAACGCAGCGAAAUGCGAUAAGUAAUGUGAAUUGCAGAAUUCAGUGAAUCAUCGAAUCUUUGAACGCACAUUGCGCCCGCCAGUAUUCUGGCGGGCAUGCCUGUCCGAGCGUCAUUUCAACCCUCGAACCCCUCCGGGGGGUCGGCGUUGGGGAUCGGCCCCUCACCGGGCCGCCCCCGAAAUACAGUGGCGGUCUCGCCGCAGCCUCUCCUGCGCAGUAGUUUGCACACUCGCACCGGGAGCGCGGCGCGGCCACAGCCGUAAAACACCCCAAACUCUGAAAUGUUGACCUCGGAUCAGGUAGGAAUACCCGCUGAACUUAAGCAUAUCAAUAAGCGGAGGAA